rnacentral:rRNA from 1 species
GACGAACGCUGGCGGCGUGCCUAAUACAUGCAAGUAGAACGCUGAAGGAGGAGCUUGCUUCUCCGGAUGAGUUGCGAACGGGUGAGUAACGCGUAGGUAACCUGCCUGGUAGCGGGGGAUAACUAUUGGAAACGAUAGCUAAUACCGCAUAAUAGUAGAUGUUGCAUGACAUUUGCUUAAAAGGUGCGAUUGCAUCACUACCAGAUGGACCUGCGUUGUAUUAGCUAGUUGGUGGGGUAACGGCUCACCAAGGCGACGAUACAUAGCCGACCUGAGAGGGUGAUCGGCCACACUGGGACUGAGACACGGCCCAGACUCCUACGGGAGGCAGCAGUAGGGAAUCUUCGGCAAUGGACGGAAGUCUGACCGAGCAACGCCGCGUGAGUGAAGAAGGUUUUCGGAUCGUAAAGCUCUGUUGUAAGAGAAGAACGAGUGUGAGAGUGGAAAGUUCACACUGUGACGUAUCUACCAGAAAGGC